UUAUAGUGGGGGAGUAGCGUUUUCGUAAAGGAAGAUUAAUACCGCAUAAGAUUGUAGUAUCGCAUGAUAUAGCAAUUAAAGGAGCAAUUCGCUAUAAGAUGGACCCGCGUCGCAUUAGCUAGUUGGUGAGGUGAUGGCUCACCAAGGCGACGAUGCGUAGCCGACCUGAGAGGGUGAUCGGCCACAUUGGGACUGAGACACGGUCCAGACUCCUACGGGAGGCAGCAUG
rnacentral:rRNA from 1 species